UGCCGCGGUUACACGAUGAGGCUCGAGUCGAUAGAUACCGGCGUAAAGGGUGGUUAAGACAAAACCGUUCUAGAGGAAAACACCUUUCAAACUGUUAUACGCACCCAAAGGUAAGAAAAACUUGCACGAAAGUCCCUCUAAUAAAUCCGAAUCCACGACAGCUCUGGUA
rnacentral:rRNA from 1 species